UCAUUAAUAUUGUGCAAAAAGUUUUUCUAUCUUCUAUUACUUAAAAACUAACGUCUUUGAAUGUAACUCCUUGAUACAAUGACAUGUAAUACAAUCAAUGUAUGCAUGAUUGUCAAAACAACGGCUGUUGGUGAAAAUCACGUGAAAAUGGAAACGAUGACUGGGUAAAUUAGAAGGUACACAACACAUGCCGCUCUCAGCUAAGUUCCGUCGAGAAAUGUUGGCGGCUAUUAAGAAUGCAAAGAAGAACAAAAUUAAACCAGAAGACGAUACGACGGAGGGUACCGAUGGAGCAGCUACGAGCAACCCGGAUGCAUCGGACAGAGAGGCAGCAAGUAUACUAGCUAAGAAGGCGGAGACACCGAAAGACAACACUGAGCCCCAACCUCCAUAGGAUCGCAAAACAAAGAACAAUAGCAAAUAAAGAGCAACAACAGAAGACCAAACGGAAAUGAUAAACAAAGACAUCCAAACGCCAUCUUGAAGGACCUGGUGAUGUGUUUAGAGAAAUAAAAAGACAUUUAAAAUUGUAUUAAUGUUUAUUUCUAUAAAUAAAUUUUAUCCCUAGGA